AUUGUACGCUGGCGGCAGGCCUAACACAUGCAAGUCGAGCGGCAGCGGGAAAGUAGCUUGCUACUUUUGCCGGCGAGCGGCGGACGGGUGAGUAAUGCCUGGGGAUCUGCCCAGUCGAGGGGGAUAACUACUGGAAACGGUAGCUAAUACCGCAUACGCCCUACGGGGGAAAGCAGGGGACCUUCGGGCCUUGCGCGAUUGGAUGAACCCAGGUGGGAUUAGCUAGUUGGUGAGGUAAGGGCUCACCAAGGCGACGAUCCCUAGCUGGUCUGAGAGGAGGACCAGCCACACUGGAACCGAGACACGGUCCAGACUCAUACGGGAGGCAGCAGUGGGGAAUAUUGCACAAUGGGGGAAACCCUGAUGCAGCCAUGCCGCGGGUGUGAAGAAGGCCUUCGGGUUGUAAAGCACUUUCAGCGAGGAGGAAAGGUUGGUAGCUAAUAACUGCCAGCUGUGACGUUACUCGCAGAAGAAGCACCGGCUAACUCCGUGCCAGCCGCCGCCGUAAUAC
rnacentral:rRNA from 1 species